ACGGAAGUAGCUUGCUACUAGACGACGACCGGCGCACGGGUGAGUAACGCGUAUGUAAUCUGCCUUGUACAGAGGGAUAGCCCAGAGAAAUUUGGAUUAAUACCUCAUAGUAUUACUGAAUCGCAUGAUUCGGUAAUUAAAGCUCCGGCGGUACAAGAUGAACAUGCGUGACAUUAGCUAGUUGGUAAGGUAACGGCUUACCAAGGCCACGAUGUCUAGGGGUUCUGAGAGGAUGAUCCCCCACACUGGUACUGAGACACGGACCAGACUCCUACGGGAGGCAGCAGUGAGGAAUAUUGGUCAAUGGACGCAAGUCUGAACCAGCCAUCCCGCGUGAAGGAUGACUGCCCUAUGGGUUGUAAACUUCUUUUAUAUGCAAAUAAACCUACUUUCGUGAAAGUAGCUGAAGGUAGCAUAUGAAUAAACACCGGCUAACUCCGUGCCAGCAGCCGCGGUAAUACGGAGGGUGUAAGCGUUAUCCGGAUUUAUUGGGUUUAAAGGGUACGUAGGCGGUAAUAUAAGUCAGUGGUGAAAUCCU
rnacentral:rRNA from 1 species